UGGCGAACGGGUGAUUAACGCGUGGGUAACCUGCCUCAUACAGGGGGAUAACAGUUGGAAACGGCUGCUAAUACCGCAUAAGCGCACAGUACCGCAUGGUACCGUGUGAAAAACUCCGGUGGUAUGAGAUGGACCCGCGUCUGAUUAGCUAGUUGGUGGGUAACGGCCUACCAAGGCGACGAUCAGUAGCCGACCUGAGAGGGUGACCGGCCACAUUGGGACUGAGACACGGCCCAA
rnacentral:rRNA from 1 species